UUUAUGGAGAGUUUGAUCCUGGCUCAGGAUGAACGCUGGCGGCGUGCCUAAUACAUGCAAGUCGAGCGAACAGAUAAGGAGCUUGCUCCUUUGACGUUAGCGGCGGACGGGUGAGUAACACGUGGGUAACCUACCUAUAAGACUGGAAUAACUCCGGGAAACCGGGGCUAAUGCCGGAUAACAUUUAGAACCGCAUGGUUCUAAAGUG
rnacentral:rRNA from 1 species